UCUCUCUAGUAGCUUCUAUACAUGCACAGUUGCACACCACACAAACAAAAGCGGUUUCAUGGAUGCAUAUUGCCGGCCACUACCACUAAUCUCGGCAUCAUUAGUUACAUGACUCAUAAUUAAUUCCUAGCUUGGUGGUUAUUGGAUAUCGGUUAAGUAGGUGGCGAUGGGCGACGGAUCACUGCAUAUCUCGAUCGAGGUUAAUAUGGGCGAUUCGACGACGGGUGCACGUAGCAGCACAGGUGUUGAGCGUUUUGACUGACGUGCGGUGGACGGCACGCGCGCGCGGUGAUUUUCAUACGAGGGUGUGUAGUGCUCCUACGUACUACCGGAGUACUCCGUAAUUGUUAAUUUCCACCGUGCGCGCGUGUCCAUGUACGACGCACUACGUGGCCCGAUCGGUCACGUUCUACCUACGUCGCGCAAUCGUGUCUCCGUCUUAGGCAAACAUCUCAGCCGGUGAUCGACGAACUGUCCCCGAAAUAUGCCAGCGGCCGGCCCGUGUACAUGUUGGACCCGGCGGAUCCCGGUGACAGCGACGGUUCAUCCAAAGCUGCCAACCCCGAGCCCGCGAGGCGCGCGGCUGCGACGUCGUACGGCGGCCUCGCGAGCCGGCGAAACGUCGCCGCGGCAUAUCAUGGCGCGCCACCACCACGCGUUGCUUCGCGAGACGUUUCCUUCCCGUACGCAAACUCCCGUGUCUCCCAAGGCGUGGGCGUGCAUGUGGUGCAACACGGCCGCACGAACGAUUUGGAGAUCCAGAGUACAAGACCGUUUCGGCCGAGCGAGCGCGCGCGCUCCGCCUCGCAAAUGAGCCUAACUUUUAUUUUUUUCAACCAGACCGAACUUUUGUAAGUAUACUUCCAACUCUUCAUGUCCUCUCGACGAAUAUUAUUGGCUUAGCUAUAGGCUCUAGCUUGCCUACUUGUCGCAACCUCGGUGGUGUACCAAAGGAGAGGUUCAAAGGUUCAAGUACUAGCAGUAUGUACUGAUCCGGCCAUCUGGUCUAAAAUGAUCAACUUUUGCUUUUAAAUCUACAUAUAGACUAUGCUCAGAUUCAAAAUCAGUAGUUGAUUAAAUAGGUGGCAUAAAUGACCGGAGCAUGUAUAUGUACGUUGUUACGAGCAUCAAUCGUCCAUCAACCAUAUAAAUAUCUGAGCAUGUAUGUAUUAGAGGGUAUGACAUGUGUGUCUAGUGAUAUGUUUGAAUGUGUGUCUUCCGUGUGAUAAAAUUUGUGUAUUUUUAUUAUGAUUUUAGUGAGGUAGGGAUUUAUUGAUUUCUGUUUCUUUAUUUAAGUAUGUACGAAGUAUUACGAGGCAUACUCGCAUAUGCAAGAAUAUAAUGUGGUGUACGUGUGUGUGGU